rnacentral:rRNA from 1 species
GAAAUGACUCUCGACAAUGGAUAUCUCGGCUCUCGCAUCGAUGAAGAACGUAGCAAACUGCGAUACUUGGUGUGAAUUGCAGAAUCCCGUGAAUCAUUGAGUUUUUGAACGCAAGUUGCGCCCGAAGCCGUCAGGCUGAGGGCACGUCUGCUUGGGUGUCACAA